rnacentral:rRNA from 1 species
CGGGACGGGUGAGUAACACGUGGAUAACCUACCUAUAAGACUGGGAUAACUUCGGGAAACCGGAGCUAAUACCGGAUAAUAUAUUGAACCGCAUGGUUCAAUAGUGAAAGACGGUUUUGCUGUCACUUAUAGAUGGAUCCGCGCCGCAUUAGCUAGUUGGUAAGGUAACGGCUUACCAAGGCAACGAUGCGUAGCCGACCUGAGAGGGUGAUCGGCCACACUGGAACUGAGACACGGUCCAGACUCCUACGGGAGGCAGCAGCA